GUGUAAUGGACAGUUAGGGGACACAAGCACAGGGACGGACGUCAGGAUCAGGAAUGGCCUCCUUAACUGUCACCAGUGCUACAUCCGCUCCCGAUGCGCCCUAUAUUACGCGGGGGCCGAGCCGCGGCGGCGGAAGAAGCUUACCUGCAGCGUACGGGCUGCUCUGGUGCUCGCGCAGGGUCCCCAGGCUGCACGAGCCCGGCGUGAGUGACGGGCAGCCGGAGGUGGCCCCGAACGUGGUCCGGAUGGGAUUGUACUGAAAGCCGCUGGCCUGACUGCACGAGCUGAAGUCCGCGUAGGCCGAUGCCAGGCUCGACGUGUCCAUCCCGGCCAUACAGGACUCGUAGGCGGAGGAGUUUAGGUGUUUUUCCCGGCGGAGGGUCUCCCGCGGCUCCCGCCUCCUGAUUGGCUGGGCGGGAUUUCAAGGCGGAUGCACAUGUGCGGUGUCCUGUAAUAAAGGUUAUGCUGCUGCUGCUGCAACGAGGCCCAACAGGGCUGAGGAACCUGUCAACGGUCCUGUCGGGCUGCUCGCCGAGGAGUCUGCUCACAUGUCCCGGGAGCCAGUGGCGGCUGGUGCUAAACAUUUUGGGGGGGGGGGCGCAGUUUACCUUGGCGCAGCACACCUGACAGCCGCUUUAAUGCCCACACAGAGUUAUUAAGAAGGGCCAUGUAGCCUACUAUAGAGUUGAUCAGGGUUCGUAGGCGGUGGAUGAUUGACAGUCGAGACGUCGUGGUGGGUGUGAACAUGAUUGACAGCCACGAGAAUUGUCCAAUCACGUUAGAUCGAACAACAGUAAAACAAUACCAAUUCACUGCCAAUAAAAAGGGGAGUGUCUGGAAAAUGGAAAAUCUGAAGAAGCCAAUCAGACAGCAGCCUCAGGUCACCUGCUCGCCACAAGUUUGAGGGCUGACAUGAGGUGUGGUUUGGCCGGCGCCUCUCACCCAGGAAGUAUAUGUAUUCAGACAGGAAGUAUAUGUGUUCAGACAGGAAGUACAUGUAUGCAAA